CGGGCCCCCGGCUCACAGCCCACCAAGUUCCACCUGCUCACAGGUUGGCUGGCUCGACCAAGAUAGACCCCCUGCUCUGAGCAUCCCGGCCGGAUCCAUCUAGAGCCAUGGCCAGAUACAGAUGCUGCCGCAGCCACAGCAGGAGCAGGUGCCGUCGCCGCAGACGCCGAUGCCGCAGACGAAGGAGGCGAAGUUGUAGGAGGCCGAGGAAGAGAGUGUGUUCCCGCCGCUACAGGGUGGGGAGGUGUAGGAGAAGAUGAUCCACGCCCGGGGUACCGGUCCACCACUCCUGCCCGGAAUUCUACCAGCCAGUCAAGACCGACCUGCCGCCUCUGAACAUGCCACCAGCACCAUGACCUGAACAGGAGCCUGCUAACGAACAAUGCCACCUGUCAAUAAAUGUUG